rnacentral:rRNA from 1 species
CCUACGGGUGGCAGCAGUGGGGAAUAUUGCGCAAUGGGCGAAAGCCUGACGCAGCGACGCCGCGUGUGGGAUGAAGGUCUUCGGAUCGUAAACCACUGUCAGCAGGGAAGAACGGUCACUGUGCUAAUCAGCAGUGAAUUGACGGUACCUGCAAAGGAAGCACCGGCUAACUCCGUGCCAGCAGCCGCGGUAAUACGGAGGGUGCGAGCGUUAAUCGGAAUUACUGGGCGUAAAGCGCUCGUAGGCGGUAUGUCAAGUCAAGUGUGAAAUCCCCGGGCUCAACGUGGGAACUGCCUUUGAAACUGGCAGACUGGAGUGUGUGAGAGGGUAGUGGAAUUCCAGGUGUAGGAGUGAAAUCCGUAGAGAUCUGGAGGAACAUCAGUGGCGAAGGCGACUAUCUGGCACAUAACUGACGCUGAGGAGCGAAAGCGUGGGUAGCAAACAGGAUUAGAUACCCGAGUAGUC